UACAGAGGGGGCAAGCGUUGUUCGGAAUUACUGGGCGUAAAGGGCGCGUAGGCGGCCUGUUAAGUCGAACGUGAAAUCCCCGGGCUCAGCCCGGGAACUGCGUCCGAUACUGGCAGGCUUGAAUCCGGGAGAGGGAUGUGGAACUCCAGGUGUAGCGGUGAAAUGCGUAGAGAUCAGGAAGAACACCCGUGGCGAAGGCGGCCCACUGGGCCGGUGCUGACGCUGAGACGCGAAAGCGUGGGGAGCGAACAGG
rnacentral:rRNA from 1 species